UCUGCUAAAUACAUCAACUCUCUAUCUUUCAAUCCUCAUCUGAAAAAUGAGAAUAAUAAAUCCUUACUUCACAGGAUACAGUGACAAUGAAAGUAAAGGCAUGACAAGAACUUGGGUGAGAGCUUGUACAUGGAAACGUGCCAAGACAGUGUCAAACAUGCAAGGAUUUGGGGUUGGGCGGAGGAUGACUGUGCUGGAGAAAAUGGCGGUGGAAACUGGGAAAGCAGAAGGAGCCAUCCUCAGUGACUCAUGCCUGAUCCCAAGGAAGGAGAGAAGCUUGGGUUGAAGAAUCCUGGACUACAAGGAAGGAAAAUGGAGGUUUGAGCACAGUUGACUUAGGGUAACAGAAACUGUGGAUAAGGGAAGGAUACUGAACCUACACAAGAUGGUCUUUGGGCUUUCCUCCUACAAACACCUAGUAAGGACCUACUCCUGGGCUAUUUCUGCUCAUUUUCUUGCUGGAGCUACAACUGCCUGGAAUGGGAAAGAAGGUAAAUGGGGACAUGCAACUUCUUAGUGACUCUAGAUUCAGUCACCCCUUACUUUGCAUUUACCCUCUAUCUCCUCACACCAUAUCAGAUCUUAAACAUGUGGUGGGCAGAGGUGGAACAAUAAAAUCAUUUCUACCCAGCAAUGCCUUCAGAAUACCUGUGGAUCAAAAAGUAAAACCAGAGGCGUGAAGCCAGCAGAAAGAAUGAAAUAAAAAAUUUAAUGCUUUCCUUUCAUUUUGUAUGUAUCCUUAAGAGGCCCAGAAUUAAAUUGCUUUUUAUGAAAUCUUCUUAGUAAGUAAAUUUGUCUAAGAGCAGAUAAGCUUAGCAACUGUCACAUAUUUUAGAGAGUCAAA